AUUGAACGCUGGCGGCAUGCUUUACACAUGCAAGUCGAACGGCAGCGGGGAGGAGCUUGCUUCUCUGCCGGCGAGUGGCGAACGGGUGAGUAAUACAUCGGAACGUGUCGAGAAGAGGGGGAUAACCACCCGAAAGGGUGGCUAAUACCGCAUAAAUUCUGAGGAAGAAAGCUGGGGACCUAGGAAUAGGCCUAGCGCUUUUUGAGCGGCCGAUGUCGGAUUAGCUAGUUGGUGAGGUAAAGGCUCACCAAGGCGAAGAUCUGUAGCGGGUCUGAGAGGAUGAUCCGCCACACUGGGACUGAGACACGGCCCAGACUCCUACGGGAGGCAGCAGUGGGGAAUUUUGGACAAUGGGGGCAACCCUGAUCCAGCCAUGCCGCGUGUAUGAAGAAGGCCUUAGGGUUGUAAAGUACUUUUGUUAGGGAAGAAAAGUCAGCUGUGAAUAAUGGCUGAUACUGACGGUGCCUAAAGAAUAAGCACCGGCUAACUACGUG
rnacentral:rRNA from 1 species